AGAUAUGCUAAAGCUGCCAGCCGUGAUGCCGAGCAGAUCUCCAACAAGUAGUUCUUCAUGUUCACUCUGUUUUUUCAUCCAGUAAUGAUCAUCAUCCUACAUUCACCCUGUUGGAGGAGGAGUCAUGUGGAAACCAGGGGCUACCAACUGGUGACGCGCUGCUGGUCCCGGCUUCCCCUGGCUCGUGGACCGCCGUGCUUUCAUCAACGUUGGGAAUCGCUUUGGCAGAUAUAAUGAAACAGAAUUUAGAUGCCAGAGUAAUGACUUGCUGCUUCUGACACCAAGGGAGCGUCUCUCUCUCUCUCUCUCUCUCUCUCUCUCUCUCUCUCUCUCUCUCUCUCUCUCUCUCUCUCUCUCUCUCUCUCUCUCUCUCUCUCUCUCUCU